GCAGCGAGAAAGCGUUGCCGCAGGCAACGACCCGAAGGGCGAAGCGCGCAGCGCUGAGUAAUCCUUCCCCCACCACCA
rnacentral:sRNA from 2 species